rnacentral:rRNA from 1 species
GACAGAGGGUGCAAACGUUGUUCGGAAUUACUGGGCGUAAAGCGAGUGUAGGCGGUGUGGCAAGUCGGAUGUGAAAGCCCCGGGCUCAACCCGGGAAGUGCAUUCGAUACUGCCACGCUAGAGUAUCGGAGAGGUUGGUGGAAUUCUCGGUGUAGAGGUGAAAUUCGUAGAUAUCGAGAGGAACACCGGUGGCGAAGGCGGCCAACUGGACGAAUACUGACGCUGAGACUCGAAAGCGUGGGGAGCAAACAGG